GUGUUCAUGAUUCUUGCUAAUAGAAGCAGAAAAAAAAAAUCAAGGACCGCCUUGGAAUCAAUGAUCUAUGGCACAUUAAGAAGCAAAUGACCUGACAGCCAUCCGACUCAGUGUCACGGAGCUUCGCAGCUAUCUUCUCCUCAUUGAAUACAUAAGCAUGUGUGCCCAUCACUCCUUCCUCAUGAGAACAUCUGUAUGGCUAUUUAUUUCCUUCUUCCUUUAUAGGUAACCAUGACUUGCCUUAGAAAUCUAUAAACGACUUUCUAGUUUUCAUAGCUCAUGA